UAUAUUAUAAUCCGAAUUGGCAAUCCUAUAAAGCUAAUCCAAAUCAGCAAAGCAAUAAAAAGAAACAAAACAGAAGAUUCAUGUUUAUUGUAUACCAACACAUACCCUAAAAUGACACGUGUUUGCGUUUUUUUGCUUUGUGUUGCAUUUUUUGCACUUAUUGAUGCGCGACCAAAGACAGCUCGAUUGAAAGACUCUAAAAAAAGUUCAGAACUUGUCAAGUUGAAUGAUCCUUCAUUUGGGCAAAAAAUUAUAAACAGGAUUAAAAAACCUUUUGAACAUGUGAUCAAUAGUUUAAAAAAUGGUAUUGCUUCAAAAAAGGAAACAAAACCCCCAAGAAGAUGCUACUUGAAUGGUUAUUGUUCUCCUGGUAAAAAAGAAAUUACGCAAAAAAAUUAACGAAAUAAAAAAUAAACAAGACAACAAAACUUGUAUUUUUUGAUACUGCUUUUAUUUACGGAUAUUUUUUAUAUUUGUCACGAACUUUAAUUUUAUUCUGCUAAUGUGAUUUAUGUUCAAACAAAACAUUUUUUUUUAUAAACAAUGUUAAAAAAGAAAUCAAAGUUAUAAAAUUAUAAUUAUUUUUUACUUUUAAAAUGUGAAAGACAAAAACUGUAUCCCCUCGUUGAUUUUAUUUACAUAUUUAAAUGAACGAAACUUUGAAAUAGUGAAGUUAGAUUCAAAUGAUAAUUGUUUACAGGACAUCAGAGUCCUUGGUUUUUUGUAGAAAUCCCCGUGGUCAGGUAGAUCCCUACGUGGACAUCAAAUAAUUAGCUUUUUUAUGUUUUUCUGCGAAAAGUUUUUCCUCUCACUCCUUUUUGGUUAAAAUUUUUGUUUUCUCUUUUUCUCAUUUUAUUUUAUUCUUUCAUUCUACCUUUUUUUUUCUUUUUUCUUAGUCUUACUCCUAUAUCUUUGUUUUGAUUCCAAAUUUUUAAAUAUUAUUGUUCCUAUUACUUUUUUUUAUUAUUACUUGUAUUAUUGUAACUUACUUUUUUUAUUAUUUCCUUGUUUAAAUUUUUUUUUUCAUUUGUUUAUUUUAUUAAGGUGUCACUCCAUUAACUUGUUUUGAACUAUAUGAGUAACACCGAACCUAACUCUGUAAAUUAUAAUUAAUUUUUUAAUUUUUAACUUUAUGGUUAAAUAAAUGGAUAAAAAUACAUACUGUUCACGAGGUUCA